ACGUGUGCAUCUUCAGAUCUCCCUAAAAAAGUGGUAAGUUCUUCCAUCUCACCAAGACUGUUUAUCUAUUAUUCAAAACUCAGUUAAACCCUCAUUGCCUCGUAUUAUUUCAAUUAAAGGCACUAAUGAAAAUGGCCUCACAAUCCUUUAAUUUUAUGAGUCUCCCUAUUGACACUAGAACUAAA